UACGAAGGGGGCUAGCGUUGCUCGGAAUGACUGGGCGUAAAGGGCGCGUAGGCGGCUCAUACAGUCAGGCGUGAAAGCCCCGGGCUCAACCCGGGAACAGCGCUUGAGACUGGGGGGCUUGAGUUCGGGAGAGGAGAGUGGAAUUCCCAGUGUAGAGGUGAAAUUCGUAGAUAUUGGGAAGAACACCGGUGGCGAAGGCGGCUCUCUGGACCGACACUGACGCUGAGGCGCGAAAGCGUGGGGAGCAAACAGG
rnacentral:rRNA from 1 species